rnacentral:misc_RNA from 1 species
UCUCCGUUGGUGAACCAGCGGAGGGAUCAUUAUCGAGUUUAUAACUCCCAAACCCUAUGUGAACUUACCACUUGUUGCUUCGGCGCGCGCUUCGGCGCCGCCGAGGACACUUAAACUCUUUGUUUUUAUAAGCAUUUCUGAGUGGCCGAAAGGCAAAAUACAAAUGAAUCAAAACUUUCAACAACAGAUCUCUUGGUUCUG